CCGUAGGGGGUGACCUGCGGAGGGAUCAUUACCGAGUUUACAACUCCCAAACCCCUGUGAACAUACCAUUUGUUGCCUCGGCGGUGCCUGCUUCGGCAGCCCGCCAGAGGACCCAAACCCUUGAUUUUAUACAGUAUCUUCUGAGUAAAUGAUUAAAUAAAUCAAAACUUUCAACAACGGAUCUCUUGGUUCUGGCAUCGAUGAAGAACGCAGCGAAAUGCGAUAAGUAAUGUGAAUUGCAGAAUUCAGUGAAUCAUCGAAUCUUUGAACGCACAUUGCGCCCGCCAGUAUUCUGGCGGGCAUGCCUGUUCGAGCGUCAUUUCAACCCUCAAGCCCCCGGGCUUGGUGUUGGAGAUCGGCGUGCCCUCCGGGGCGCGCCGGCUCCCAAAUAUAGUGGCGGUCUCGCUGUAGCUUCCUCUGCGUAGUAGCACACCUCGCACUGGAAAACAGCGUGGCCACGCCGUUAAACCCCCCACUUCUGAAAGGUUGACCUCGGAUCAGGUAGGAAUACCCGCUGAACUUAAGCAUAUCAUAAGGCCGGAGG
rnacentral:rRNA from 1 species